UCACCUUCUGAAAUAGAGAAAUUCAGCAGCUCAGGAUCUCUCUUUUGGAGCAGCGCAUGAGAAUCAUGACUGAGGAGCCUCCAUACCAAGGUGCACACUCACAAUGGAUCACUGCAUGGUUGCAGUUGCAAACGAUUCCUGUGGAAGAAUUGCACCACCUCACCAUUUGCUAAGCAGCCCAGCACAGUGGUAUGAAAGGAGACUGUUGCAGGUCUGAGCAAGCUGAGCUGAUGGAGUAUCUCUAUGAACUGGUGAGG
rnacentral:lncRNA from 1 species